GCGCAGGCGCGUGCACGAGGUUGUCCCUCAGCCCGCUCUGCGCGAGCUCACUGGUGGGAAGCAGAGACGGAGACUGAGAUCGCAGGUUCGAUGGUUUGUCGACACGUUUUGGACCCACUGACUCACUGUGUGUAACCACCAAGGAGGAAUAAGAAAAAAUUUCACUGACGAGAUUCAGACCCAAGAAUUUUAAAGGAGGAAUAAGAGGAAAUUUCACUGACGAGACUGAGGCCCAAGACCACAAUGCCUUGGCUUUCUCUGCAGGAUUCAUGAUGCCACGCGCACAGAAGAUCCCCUGUUGCUGUUCCAGGGGCUGCGAAGCAACCCCACAUUGCUGAACCUCCUCAAUGUUGUUUCGCUGCAGCGAAGGCCUCACUUUGUUUUUUGUUCUGUUCUUUACCAACAAGCUCUAAUUAGCUCUCAUUUAUCAUUUGUCCACAAGACAUUCCCUCAAGGAUUUUGGCACAUUUAAAAAAAAAAAAAAAA